UGAAUUAGCGAAUUGUUUCCCUUUGAAAUCAACACGCCAUUAUCGGUGGAUACAUGUCUGAAACUGGGUCAGAGAAUACAUGCAGUUAUUGCUCUGAAUAUACGCGGAUAUUUAAAGUGCAUGGCGGAUUUAAUUAUUGUUAUGGAUAACCUCCAGCAGUAAGAAAUAUAAAGGCUCACUGCAGUUUUGAGUGCUCAACAAGCAUUGACCCCAUACUAUGCUCAGCAAGUAGGGCCCUUGUAUUUCUGUGGAUCCUCAUGCAGUACAGUACUGCUGUUAGAGAGGAGCAAACAGUGUGGUAUCUAUGGUCCACCAUCACUUCAAGCAUCAUGGCUAUGGAGAAAAGAAUGUUUCAUUACAUAUGGACAAUUAUAGUGGACAAAAUAAGAAAAGUGUUGUAAUAAGCUAUGGAAUGUGGCUUGUUAUGAUGGGUCUACAUGAUGACUUGGAGUACAACCUGAUUGAGGCCCGGCAUACAGAAUUCAGUCCUGAACAUGUUUAGAAUGUCUUCUGCAUGACCUGGUAUAGAUAGUAUUCUUGAAGGAUUAUAACUUCAACACAGAGACGGAGAUUAAUAUUUUUAGGCAGGGGGUUGUCAUGACAGGCAAAUUCACCAACCGUAUUACCAUUCCUGAGCUGGAUGCCAGUCGACAGUGGUACCUGUAUAAUGAAAUAGCGCCCCUUUGCAGCAACAGCAAUGUAUGCUCAAAACCAGCAGUGUCAAAGCCAUUAAAAUUGAAGUCAUUUAAAACGA